rnacentral:rRNA from 1 species
UUGAAAGGGAAACGAUUGAAGUCAGUCGUACCUGCGGGUAAUCAGCCUUUUGGGUGUGAUUAUGUGGAGCGUGAGGAGCUAAACACCCUCAUCUUUGCAUAUUCGUGCACUUUGGGUGUACUUGCUCGUGUGGUAGGUUAACAUCAAUUUUGAUCGUCAUAAAAUGACUGGAGGAAUGUGGCUUCGAUCUCGUAUUGAAGUGUUAUAGCCUUUGGUAGAUGUGAUGAUUAGGAUUGAGGAUUGCAACGGAUACCCUUUUGGGCUACCUGUCUGACCUCUGAAAGUUGCUCUGGUGCUGAAAGCUUGCUUAUGG